rnacentral:rRNA from 1 species
GAACGCUGGCGGUCUGCUUAACACAUGCAAGUCGAACGGGCUCUUCGGAGCUAGUGGCGGACGGGUGAGUAACGUGUGAGAAUCUGCCUUCAGGAGGGGGAUAACGACUGGAAACGGUCGCUAAUACCCCAUAUGCCUCCGGGUGAAAAGUAAUUCGCCUGAAGAUGAGCUCGCGUCAGAUUAGCUAGUUGGUGGGGUAAGAGCCUACCAAGGCGACGAUCUGUAGCUGGUCUGAGAGGAUGAUCAGCCACACUGGGACUGAGACACGGNCCAGACUCCUACGGGAGGCAGCAGUGGGGAAUUUUCCGCAAUGGGCGCAAGCCUGACGGAGCAAGACCGCGUGGGGGAUGACGGCCUAAUGGUUGUAAACCCCUUUUCUCUGGGAAGAAGACUGACGGUACCAGAGGAAUCAGCCUCGGUUAACUCCGUGCCAGCAGCCGCGGUAAUACGGAGGAGGCAAGCGUUAUCCGGAAUUAUUGGGCGUAAAGCGUCCGUAGGUGGUUAUUCAAGUCUGCUGUCAAAGCGUGGGGCUUAACUCCAUAGAGGCAGUGGAAACUGAGUGACUAGAGUGCGGUACGGGUCGAGGGAAUUCCCAGUGUAGCGGUGAAAUGCGUAGAUAUUGGGAAGAACACCAGUG